AGCAGCCGCGGUAAUUCCAGCUCCAAUAGCGUAUAUUAAAGUUGUUGCAGUUAAAAGGCUCGUAGUUGAAUUUCGGGGUUAGUAGGUCGGUCGUGCCACAGGUAUGUACUGGUCUCACUGAUUCCUCCUUCCUGAUGAACCGUAAUGCCAUUAAUUUGGUGUUGCGGGGAAACUGGACUGUUACUUUGAAAAAUUAGAGUGUUUAAAGCAGGCUAACGCUUGAAUACAUUAGCAUGGAAUAAUGAAAUAGGACGUUCGAUCCUAUUUUGUUGGUUUCUAGGAUUGACGUAAUGAUUAAUAGGGAUAGUUGGGGGCAUUAGUAUUCAAUUGUCAGAGGUGAAAUUCUUGGAUUUAUUGAAGACUAACUACUGCGAAAGCAUUUGCCAAGGAUGUUUUCAUUAAUCAAGAACGAAAGUUAGGGAUCGAAGACGAUCAGAUACCGUCGUAGUC
rnacentral:rRNA from 1 species